ACUAGGAUUCCCUUAGUACGGCGAGUGAACCGGGAUGAGCUCAAAUUUGAAAUCUGGCGUCUUUCAGGCGUCCGAGUUGUAAUCUAUAGAGGCGUUUUCCGCGCCGGACCGCGUCCAAGUCUCUUGGAAUAGAGUAUCAAAGAGGGUGACAAUCCCGUACUUGACGCGACAACCGGUGCUCUGUGAUACGUUCUCAACGAGUCGAGUUGUUUGGGAAUGCAGCUCUAAAUGGGUGGUAAAUUCCAUCUAAGGCUAAAUAUUGGCGAGAGACCGAUAGCGAACAAGUACCGUGAGGGAAAGAUGAAAAGCACUUUGGAAAGAGAGUUAAACAGCACGUGAAAUUGUUAAAAGGGAAACGAUUGAAGUCAGUCGUGUGAAAGGUAUUCAGCCGUCUCUGGCGGUGUAUUUGCCUUUCACGGGUCAACAUCAGUUUAGUCCGGUAGAAAAAGGCUGGAGGAAGGUGGCACCCUCGGGUGUGUUAUAGCCUCCUGUCACAUGUGCCGGAUUAGACUGAGGAACGCAGCUUGCCGCAAGGCCGGGGUUCGCCCACGUACAAGCUUAGGAUGUUGACAUAAUGGCUUUAAACGACCCGUCUUGAAACACGGACC
rnacentral:rRNA from 1 species